GAUGAAUUUGGUGCUUGCACCAGAUGAAACUAGAUACAAGCGAGCGGCGGACGGGCGAGUAACACGUGGGUAACCUGCCCAAGAGACUGGGAUAACACCUGGAAACAGAUGCUAAUACCAGAUAACAACACUAGACGCAUGUCUAGAGUUUAAAAGAUGGUUCUGCUAUCACUCUUGGAUGGACCUGCGGUGCAUUAGCUAGUUGGUAAGGUAACGGCUUACCAAGGCAAUGAUGCAUAGCCGAGUUGAGAGACUGAUCGGCCACAUUGGGACUGAGACACGGCCCAAACUCCUACGGGAGGCAGCAGUAGGGAAUCUUCCACAAUGGACGCAAGUCUGAUGGAGCAACGCCGCGUGAGUGAAGAAGGGUUUCGGCUCGUAAAGCUCUGUUGGUAGUGAAGAAAGAUAGAGGUAGUAACUGGCCUUUAUUUGACGGUAAUUACUUAGAAAGUCACGGCUAACUACGUGCCAGCAGCCGCGGUAAUACGUAGGUGGCAAGCGUUGUCCGGAUUUAUUGGGCGUAAAGCGAGUGCAGGCGGUUCAAUAAGUCUGAUGUGAAAGCCUUCGGCUCAACCGGAGAAUUGCAUCAGAAACUGUUGAACUUGAGUGCAGAAGAGGAGAGUGGAACUCCAUGUGUAGCGGUGGAAUGCGUAGAUAUAUGGAAGAACACCAGUGGCGAAGGCGGCUCUCUGGUCUGCAACUGACGCUGAGGCUC
rnacentral:rRNA from 1 species